GACGAACGCUGGCGGCGUGCUUAACACAUGCAAGUCGAACGGAAAGGCCCUGCUUUUGUGGGGUGCUCGAGUGGCGAACGGGCGAGUAACACGUGAGUAACCUGCCCUUGACUUUGGGGUAACUUCAGGAAACUGGGGCUAAUACCGGAUAGGAGCUCCUGCUGCAUGGUGGGGGUUGGAAAGUUUCGGCGGUUGGGGAUGGACUCGCGGCUUAUCAGCUUGUUGGUGGGGUAGUGGCUUACCAAGGCUUUGACGGGUAGCCGGCCUGAGAGGGUGACCGGCCACAUUGGGACUGAGAUACGGCCCAGACUCCUACGGGAGGCAGCAGUGGGGAAUAUUGCACAAUGGGCGGAAGCCUGAUGCAGCAACGCCGCGUGCGGGAUGACGGCCUUCGGGUUGUAAACCGCUUUCGCCUGUGACGAAGCGUGAGUGACGGUAAUGGGUAAAGAAGCACCGGCUAACUACGUG
rnacentral:rRNA from 1 species